CGNGACUUUCUGGUUGAUUACCGUCAAAUAAAGGCCAGUUACUACCUCUAUCCUUCUUCACCAACAACAGAGCUUUACGAUCCGAAAACCUUCUUCACUCACGCGGCGUUGCUCCAUCAGACUUGCGUCCAUUGUGGAAGAUUCCCUACUGCUGCCUCCCGUAGGAGUAGGGGGAAUCUUCCACAAUGGACGCAAGUCUGAUGGAGCAACGCCGCGUGAGUGAAGAAGGUUUUCGGAUCGUAAAGCUCUGUUGUUGGUGAAGAAGGAUAGAGGUAGUAACUGGCCUUUAUUUGACGGUAAUCAACCAGAAAGUCACGGCUAACUACGUGCCAGCAGCCGCGGUAAUACA
rnacentral:rRNA from 1 species